CAGGUGGGUGAGGAGAGUAUCCUAAGGCCAGCGAGAGAACUGUUGUUAAGGAACUCGGCAAAAUGACCCCGUAACUUAGGGAUAAGGGGUGCCACCAUCAGGUGGCCGCAGAGAAUAGGCCCAAGCGACUGUUUACCAAAAACAUAGGUUUCUGCUAAGUCGCAAGACGAUGUAUAGGAGCUGACGCCUGCCCGGUGCUGGAAGGUUAAGGGGAUCUGUUAGAGCAAUCGAAGCAGUGAACUUAAGCCCCAGUAAACGGCGGCCGUAACUAUAACGGUCCUAAGGUAGCGAAAUUCCUUGUCGGGUAAGUUCCGACCCGCACGAAAGGCGUAACGAUUUGGGCACUGUCUCAACAACAGACUCGGUGAAAUUGUAAUUCCGGUGAAGAUGCCGGAUACCUGCGACAGGACGGAAAGACCCCAUGGAGCUUUACUGUAGCUUGACAUUGGGUCUUGGUACUACAUGUACAGGAUAGGUGGGAGGCUUUGAAACCAGGACGCCAGUUUUGGCGGAGCCAUCCUUGGGAUACCACCCUUGUA
rnacentral:rRNA from 1 species